ensembl:lncRNA
GACCAAGGAUCGAACCGAGGCCCCCUGCAUUGGGAGUGAGAAGUCUUAGCCACUGGACCACCAAGGAAGUCCCUUUCUUUUCUUUUAAACUGAGGCUUGUCUUAGUUGCCAUCUCAUAGGAUUGUUUCAGGGUUGAGAUAAUCCAUGAUGAGCACUCAAGACAUUUAAUUAUUAUCACUGCUACUACUGUUGGACCUCAUCAAACUCCUAAAUUACCCAUGAGGAAGGUCGGGACAGUUUAGGUUGGGUUUUCUGACACCUGAGAACCAGUGGCUUUGAUGCUGCACACCCAAAAACUUUGGAACUGGGACAACAGAGAGCCUGUGAAGAAAGGCACCAUCCAAGAUCACACAGAGAGGCAGCUCUGAAGGUUAGGAGGGAUCCCAAGACAUGUCAAGAAAAGCACUGAUCACAUAGCCAGCACUACAUAGCCCUGAAA